AUGUGCGUUAGUUGUUAAGUUGUGGGAUUCAUAGUCCUGAUAUGAUCGGUGAUCUUGGUUUAAAUA